rnacentral:rRNA from 1 species
AUUGAACGCUGGCGGCAGGCCUAACACAUGCAAGUCGAGCGGAUGACGGGAGCUUGCUCCUUGAUUCAGCGGCGGACGGGUGAGUAAUGCCUAGGAAUCUGCCUGGUAGUGGGGGACAACGUUUCGAAAGGAACGCUAAUACCGCAUACGUCCUACGGGAGAAAGCAGGGGACCUUCGGGCCUUGCGCUAUCAGAUGAGCCUAGGUCGGAUUAGCUAGUUGGUGGGGUAAUGGCUCACCAAGGCGACGAUCCGUAACUGGUCUGAGAGGAUGGUCAGUCACACUGGAACUGAGACACGGUCCAGACUCCUACGGGAGGCAGCAGUGGGGAAUAUUGGACAAUGGGCGAAAGCCUGAUCCAGCCAUGCCGCGUGUGUGAAGAAGGUCUUCGGAUUGUAAAGCACUUUAAGUUGGGAGGAAGGGCAGUAAGCUAAUACCUUGCUGUUUUGACGUUACCGACAGAAUAAGCACCGACUAACUCUGUGCCAGCCGCCGCCGUAACAC